AAUAAAGUGCCUGAUUUAAAAGGACUAUCUUGAUAGGAUAGAUCAUGUAGAUACCUACCUUUAUUA
rnacentral:tRNA from 1 species